AGAGUUUGAUCCUGGCUCAGGAUGAACGCUGGCGGCGUGCUUAACACAUGCAAGUCGAACGAAGUCCAUGGAGCUUGCUCCGGAAGAUUGAGUGGCGAACGGGUGCGUAACACGUGAGAAACCUGCCCCGGACUUUGGGAUAACAGUUGGAAACGACUGCUAAUACCGAAUAUCACCGUUUCCCCGCAUGGGGAUUUGUUGAAAGGUCCGCCGGUCCGGGAGGGUCUCACGGCCUAUCAGCUUGUUGGGGGGGUAAUGGCUCACCAAGGCAUCGACGGGUAGCUGGUCUGAGAGGAUGAUCAGCCACACUGGGACUGAGACACGGCCCAGACUCCUACGGGAGGCAGCAGUGGGGAAUCUUGCACAAUGGGCGCAAGCCUGAUGCAGCAACGCCGCGUGCGGGAAGAAGGCCUUAGGGUUGUAAACCGCUUUCAGUAGGGAAGAAAAUGACGGUACCUACAGAAGAAGGUGCGGCCAACUACGUGCCAGCAGCCGCGGCAACACGUAGGCACCAAGCGUUAUCCGGAUUUAUUGGGCGUAAAGAGCUCGUAGGCGGUUCAGUCAGUCGGGUGUGAAAACUUGAGGCUUAACCUCAAGAGGUCACUCGAUACUACUGUGACUAGAGUGCGGUAGGGGAGCGGGGAAUUCCUGGUGUAGCGGUGAAAUGCGCAGAUAUCAGGAGGAACACCAGUGGCGAAGGCGCCGCUCUGGGCCGUAACUGACGCUGAGGAGCGAAAGCAUGGGUAGCAAACAGGAUUAGAUACCCUGGUAGUCCAUGCCGUAAACGUUGGGCACUAGGUGUGGGUCUCAACCAACGAGAUCCGCGCCGUCGCUAACGCAUUAAGUGCCCCGCCUGGGGAGUACGGUCGCAAGACUAAAACUCAAAGGAAUUGAUGG
rnacentral:rRNA from 1 species